AUUGAACGCUGGCGGCAGGCCUAACACAUGCAAGUCGAGCGGGGUUUUCGGACCUAGCGGCGGACGGGUGAGUAAUGCGUAGGAAGCUGCCUGAUAGAGGGGGAUACCAGUUGGAAACGACUGUUAAUACCGCAUAAUGUCUACGGACCAAAGUGUGGGACCCUCGGGCCACAUGCUAUCGGAUGCGCCUACGUGGGAUUAGCUAGUUGGUGAGGUAAUGGCUCACCAAGGCGACGAUCUCUAGCUGGUUUGAGAGGAUGAUCAGCCACACUGGAACUGAGACACGGUCCAGACUCCUACGGGAGGCAGCAGUGGGGAAUAUUGGACAAUGGGCGCAAGCCUGAUCCAGCCAUGCCGCGUGUGUGAAGAAGGCCUUCGGGUUGUAAAGCACUUUCAGUAGGGAGGAAGCGUUGUGUGUUAAUAGUACACAGCGUUGACGUUACCUACAGAAGAAGCACCGGCUAACUCUGUGCCAGCAGCCGCGGUAAGAC
rnacentral:rRNA from 1 species